rnacentral:rRNA from 1 species
UGGGGAAUAUUGGACAAUGGGCGCAAGCCUGAUCCAGCCAUGCCGCGUGUGUGAAGAAGGCCUUUUGGUUGUAAAGCACUUUAAGCGAGGAGGAGGUUACUUGGAUUAAUACUCUAGGAUAGUGGACGUUACUCGCAGAAUAAGCACCGGCUAACUCUGUGCCAGCAGCCGCGGUAAUACAGAGGGUGCGAGCGUUAAUCGGAUUUACUGGGCGUAAAGCGUGCGUAGGCGGCUUCUUAAGUCGGAUGUGAAAUCCCUGAGCUUAACUUAGGAAUUGCAUUCGAUACUGGGAAGCUAGAGUAUGGGGAAGGAUGGUAGAAUUCCAGAUAUAGCGGUGAAUUGCGUAGAGAACUAGAGGAAUACCGAUCGCGAAGGCAGCCAUCUGGCCUAAUACUGACGCUGAAGUACGAAAGCAUGGGGAGCAAACACG